rnacentral:tRNA from 1 species
GCGAGAGUAGCUCAGUUGGUAGAGCGUCUCCUUGCCAUGGAGAAGGUCGCGGGUUCGAGCCCCGUUUCUCGCU